GACGAACGCUGGCGGCGUGCUUAACACAUGCAAGUCGAACGGAAAGGCCCUGCUUUUGUGGGGUGCUCGAGUGGCGAACGGGUGAGUAACACGUGAGUAACCUGCCCUUGACUUUGGGAUAACUUCAGGAAACUGGGGCUAAUACCGGAUAGGAGCUCCUGCUGCAUGGUGGGGGUUGGAAAGUUUCGGCGGUUGGGGAUGGACUCGCGGCUUAUCAGCUUGUUGGUGGGGUAGUGGCUUACCAAGGCUUUGACGGGUAGCCGGCCUGAGAGGGUGACCGGCCACAUGGGGACUGAGAUACGGCCCAGACUCCUACGGGAGGCAGCAGUGGGGAAUAUUGCACAAUGGGCGGAGGCCUGAGGCAGCAACGCCGCGUGCGGGAUGACGGCCUUCGGGUUGUAAACCGCUUUCGCCUGUAACGAAGCGUGAGUGACGGUAAUGGGUAAAGAAGCACCGGCUAACUACGUG
rnacentral:rRNA from 1 species